UACAGAGGGGGCGAGCGUUGUUCGGAAUUACUGGGCGUAAAGGGUUCGUAGGUGGCCAACUAAGUCAGACGUGAAAUCCCUCAGCUUAACUGGGGAACUGCGUCUGAUACUGAUUGGCUUGAGUGCAGGAGAGGAACGCGGAAUUCCAGGUGUAGCGGUGAAAUGCGUAGAUAUCUGGAGGAACACCGGUGGCGAAGGCGGCGUUCUGGACUGCAACUGACACUGAGGAACGAAAGCCAGGGGAGCAAACGGG
rnacentral:rRNA from 1 species